UAGUUAUUUUCUUUAAACCUAAAGAAUUUGGCGGUGUUUUAGUCUAUUCAGAGGAAUCUGUCCCGUUAUCGAUAGUCCCCGUUAUAUCUUACUUUAUUUUGUUUAUUCAGUAUGUAUACCGCCGUUAUAAGUUUAUUUUAUUAGAAUUUUUUAAUUUACUUAAAAUAAAAUUUUAUUUUAUUUCAGGUCAAGGUGCAGUUUAUAAUUAAGUGGAGAUGGAUUACAUUUUUGGUUGAAAAUAUGGAUAUGUUUAAAUUUAAAAAUUUCAUUGAAGGUGGAUUUGAUAGUAAUAUUUUAAAUAAUAAUUAUUUGAUUUUAGCUCUAAAAUAAGCACACAUCGCCCGAUCGCUCUA
rnacentral:rRNA from 1 species